GACAGAGGGUGCAAACGUUGUUCGGAAUUACUGGGCGUAAAGCGUGCGUAGGCGGUUUGUUAAGUCCGUUGUGAAAGCCCUGGGCUCAACCUGGGAAUUGCAGUGGAUACUGGCGAGCUAGAGUGCGGUAGAGGAUGGUGGAAUUCCCGGUGUAGCGGUGAAAUGCGUAGAGAUCGGGAGGAACACCCGUGGCGAAGGCGGCCAUCUGGACCAGCACUGACGCUGAGGCACGAAAGCGUGGGGAGCAAACAGG
rnacentral:rRNA from 1 species